GAUGAACGCUGGCGGCGUGCCUAACACAUGCAAGUCGAGCGUGAACCCUGCGAAUGAAACUUCGGUCGAUUUUGCAGGGGGAAAGCGGCGGACGGGUGAGUAACGCGUAGGUAACCUGCCCCAUACUGAGGGAUAGCCUCGGGAAACCGGGAUUAAUACCUCAUAACACCGUAUAUUCGCAUGGAUGUGCGGUCAAAGACUUUAUCGGUAUGGGAUGGGCCUGCGUCUGAUUAGCUGGUUGGUGGGGUAACGGCCUACCAAGGCGACGAUCAGUAGCCGACCUGAGAGGGUGAUCGGCCACAUUGGAACUGAGACACAGUCCAAACUCCUACGGGAGGCAGCAGUGGGGAAUAUUGCACAAUGGGCGAAAGCCUGAUGCAGCAACGCCGCGUGAGCGAAGAAGGCCUUUGGGUCGUAAAGCUCUGUCGGGUAGGAAGAUAAUGACGGUACUACCCGAGGAAGCCCCGGCUAACUACGUG
rnacentral:rRNA from 1 species